rnacentral:rRNA from 1 species
UGGGGAAUUUUGGACAAUGGGCGAAAGCCUGAUCCAGCAAUGCCGCGUGUGUGAAGAAGGCCUUCGGGUUGUAAAGCACUUUUGUCCGGAAAGAAAUCCUUGGCUCUAAUACAGUCGGGGGAUGACGGUACCGGAAGAAUAAGCACCGGCUAACUACGUGCCAGCAGCCGCGGUAAUACGUAGGGUGCAAGCGUUAAUCGGAAUUACUGGGCGUAAAGCGUGCGCAGGCGGUUUGCUAAGACCGAUGUGAAAUCCCCGGGCUCAACCUGGGAACUGCAUUGGUGACUGGCAGGCUAGAGUAUGGCAGAGGGGGGUAGAAUUCCACGUGUAGCAGUGAAAUGCGUAGAGAUGUGGAGGAAUACCGAUGGCGAAGGCAGCCCCCUGGGCCAAUACUGACGCUCAUGCACGAAAAGCGUGGGGAGCAAACAGGAUUAGAUACCCUGGUAGUCCACGCCCUAAAACGAUGUCAACUAGUUGUUGGGGGAUUCAUUUCCUUAGUAACGUAGCUAACGCGUGAAGUUGACCGCCUGGGGAGUACGGUCGCAAGAUUAAAACUUAAAUGAAUUGACGGGGUCAUAGCUGUUU